CCUACGGGAGGCAGCAGUGAGGAAUAUUGGUCAAUGGACGAGAGUCUGAACCAGCCAAGUAGCGUGAAGGAUGACUGCCCUAUGGGUUGUAAACUUCUUUUAUAUGGGAAUAAAACGUUCCACGUGUGGGAUUUUGUAUGUACCAUAUGAAUAAGGAUAGGCUACUCCGUUCCAGCAGCCGCGGUAAUACGGAGGGUCCGAGCGUUAGCCGGAUUUAUUGGGCUUAAAGGGAGCGUAGGUGGGUUGUUAAGUCAGUUGUGAAAGUUUGCGGCUCAACCAUAAAAUUGCAGUUGAAACUGGCAGUCUAGAGUACAGUAGAGGUGGGCGGAAUUCGUGGUGUAGCGGUGAAAUGCGUAGAUAUCACGAAGAACUCCGAUUGCGAAGGCAGCUUACUAAACUGCCACUGACAUUGAUGCUCGAAAGUGUGGGUAUCAAACAGGAUUAGAUACCCCAGUAGUC
rnacentral:rRNA from 1 species